ensembl:lncRNA
AGCUUGUUGGGGUUUGUGGAGGGGCUGGCAAAUAGCUGAAGCCCUUAUGAAGUAGAGGAGCUGGGUAACAGUAAAGGAGAAUCUUCUCUUUUAAUUUGUAGUUUCUUUUCUUGUGAGGGACAGGUCUGUAUCCUGUGCUUCUGUAGUGAGAUUUUAAUGUUAUCUGAUCUUCCUUGUGCUGUCUCCCCUGAGAAGCUCAGAGAACAACCUGGAACUGAAGGUGCUACCAGAGUACAUGGAAUGGCUAAUAACUGUUGGCUGCAGCAUUUCUGCCCCAGCCAUGUGUGCAAAGAACUUGUCAUCACCUGAGAUGCUAUGAAGUGGCAGCAACCUGUAGGUCUUUCCACGGAGUAUUAAGGGUCAAUUUAUACAAGAAUAAGGAUUCAGGGACCUUUCUCCUGGGAUUCUGAGCCCUUUGGGGCACAAGGUGAGCCUUUAGUUAUUUCCAAGCCUUGUAGAGCUGGCUCAGCCACCAACCCUGGAGCUUCUGCACUGCCCAAGAAGAUACCAUGUCCUGACAAGAUGAAACACCUCAAGCUCACUGCUGUGAUGACACCUUUCCGUUGUCCAGUAUGUAAAUCCCAGCACAAAUCACCAGCACUUCUGACUUUGUCAGCGUUUGGCACUGGCCCAGCAGAAGUGACACCAAUUAUUUGUGUCAGCUCCCGUCUGAAAGCAGGAGAUAUAUGAAAUCUAACCCUGAGACAAUCCAUCAUGGUGUGCAGUGGGAUUUAGGACCUGUCACCCUGAUGGGGUAUUGACUGAGCACAGCUUCUUCCAGGACAGAGAGGUUAUGGAGAGCAUUAUAUCACCCCCAGCAAGGCAUUACAGGUUGAAACUGAAAAAUGAGCCUCAAAGUCUCUUAACUUGGGUGAAUGGUCCAACGAGAGCAACUGAAGUGAAACCAGGCAGCUCCUGGUUUAGGGUUAUUGGAGGAGUUUUAAUAACUGUUAUGUGAUUAAAUGUCAG